UACGGAGGUGGCAGGCGUUACUCGGAUUGAUUGGGUGUAAAGGGCGUGUAGGCGGUGAAUUAAGUCGAAUGUGAAAUCCCUUGGCUUAACCAAGGAACUGCAUUCGAAACUGAUUUGCUUGAGCGAUGGAGAGGAAAGCGGAAUUCCCGGUGUAACAGUGAAAUGUGUAGAUAUCGGGAGGAACACCAGUGGCGAAGGCGGCUUUCUGGCUGUCUGCUGACGCUGAAACGCGAGAGCUAGGGGAGCAAACAGG
rnacentral:rRNA from 1 species